UAUAACCCUAAAGUGGUACUUAUGAAAUUUGUAUUCCUUAAAAAUAAAUUUAAAAACUGUGUUUUGAAUGGCAAAAAAAAAAGAAAAGAAAAAUAAAACAAAAAAUGUAUUUAUUUGAAAGGCAGAAUAACACACAGAGAGAGGGACACACACACAGGAAGAGAGAGAUACAAUCUUCCAUCUAAUGGUCUACUCCCCAGAUAGCCACAAUGGCCGAGGCUGGGCCAGGUUGAUGCCAGGAGCCAGGCGCUCCAUUCAUGUCUCCCACACAGGGGCAGGGACCCAAGCACUGGGCCAUCUUCCAUGCUUCUCCAUGCACGUUGGCGGGAGCUGGAUCAGAAGCAGAGCAGCUGGGACUCCCGUAUUGGAAGAAGUCUGCCAUAUUGCGAGCCGCAGGUUAACCUGCUUCACUGUAACGCUGGCCCCUGACACUGAUUUUCACGUGCGUCCCAAGUCAGCCUCCUGGUUUCCAGAACUGAAGACAGUAAAUAUGCAUUGUUUUAAGCCACUAAGUUUAUGGUUAUGUUUUAUAGCAGCAAUAAGGAACUAAUUUAGGAAACCAAUCAGACUGAAGGCUCCACUGAAAUGCCUUUGCGCUGUGUCAAAGAUCAAUUGGUUAUUUUCAUGCUGAACGAUUUCUACACUGUCUAAUCUGCUCCAUUUUUCUACGUGCCAAUACCACACUGAUACGUCUUUUGUCAGUAUUACACUGAUACGUCUUUUGUCAGUAUUACACUUUUUUUUUUUUAACCUGUCUCGAGUUCUCUUUCCCAGCUUCCUAUCUUCAGGAUUCGAAACGUCGGUCAACGGGGAAGGAAGCAAAUGGGUAGGAACCACGCCCUCCCAGCCAUCUAUUGCCGAGCUACCAACGAGCGCCAGUGAUUCUGCACCAGUUCCCUUCAGGAGGCCUUUUGUAUAGCUUGCUGUCUCUCUGGCGCCCGCCCUCUCUGUGCUAUGAGAGAGACCGUGGCCAGGCUAGCCUGCUGCAGUACGAGUGGCCGGAUGGAGGAGAGAGCCCUGGUGCCCAGCCAAGCCAGCCUACAUCAUCCAGCAUUCCAAUAAGUGAGGCCUAGCCAGGCUCAUCAUGGGAAAAACGGAUUCAGACUUCCUGGAGGUGCACUAGCCGGGAGCUGGUUCAGAAUGCAGCAGCCGGGACCCGAACCAACGCUCUGAUAUGGGACGCCGGAUUUCCAGAGUGAUCUGUGUGGAGCUGCUCAUUCAUCGGGUGGCUAGUGCUCAUACCGUGAUUCUGAUGGCGCAGCUGCGCGUCCACAGUCCCAAGUCCGUGUCAAGUUCAGGCAGUGUGCCGCAUUUCCAAGGACACCAGGCUUGGAGUCAGAAGACCAUGGUUUAGGUUUCGCUCCUCCCGAGCCUCUGUUUCUUCCUCGUGACAUCGGACUUCACUCAUCCAACAAUAAACACCCAGUGGGUGGUGAGGCUGGAUGCUGGCGGCCCAAGCACCUGCCUGCUUCCCUUGGAUUCGUGCCUGGGAGAAUUAAUUUCUAACUGAACAAAAAUAUAACAGGAAAUGGAAUUCCAGGCACUGAGCUGUACUUUCAGUGGUCUCAUUACGCAGAGGAAAUGAAACUGGGUCCAUUACGAAGCAAGCAGUCUAAUGCAGUGGUUACGAACUGACUGCCCGCUUUCAAACCCUCGCUCUGCGAGAACUUGGGGGAUGUCGCUCAACCGCUCGUUGACUCAGUUUCCCCCCUCUGUAAAAUGGGAACAAGAACUGGGGUUCCCCUCAAGGGGUUGUCUGCGAGGGCUCAGUGCACUGCCGCUGUGUCCAGCACGGAGUGAGGGCUCAGGAAUUAUUAGCGUCACAGUCACUACAACUGUUUGUGAUGGACAACAGGGCGGCAAGGUGUUUCCGAUACAAACGCAAUCACGUGGAUCCCGGACGGUGACCGUUUGUGACACUUUUCUCUCCACGGCCAGGCUCUGUUCACGUCACGUGGCCAGCUAUGUCCACGUCCAUGGACUCUGCUGCUGCUUCAGCGACACCUCCCCAAGGCUUUGCCGGCCUUUGGUAAGAAAGACCCUGCCAGGCGGGGCAACCACGGGAAUUCUGCAUCAGCUCCCCAGGUCCGCGUCAGCGGGCAGGAGAUGGGGCAGCCAGCGCCCGGGGGAGGCUGAUUGUGCCUUUUUUUUUUUUUUAUAAGAUUUAUUUAUUUAUUUGAAAGAGUAAGAGCGAGGAUGGGAGAGAAAGAGAGAGAUCUUCUAUCUGCUGGUUCAUUCCCCAAAUGGUUGCAGUAGCCAGGGCUGGGGCAGAAGCCAGCAGCCAGGAACUCCGUCUGGUCUCCCACUGGGUGCAGGGGCCCAAGCGCUUGAGCCAUCCUCUGCUGCCUUCCCAGGCGCAUUAGCAGGGAGCUGGAGCAUCCCAUAUGGUGACUUAACCUGUUGCGCCACGAUGCUGGCCUCAGAGUUGUGAUGUGUUUAUCUUAUUGCUCCAGUCAUAGUUGGCUUCCAUUUUCAAAAUCUUCACAUGGCUGUUAGGUUUCAUUCCAUCUGCAUUUCUGAUUUUUCUUAAUGAUUUAUACAACCUGGGUAAGUUAAGGAAACAGCCCGUCUGCUGGGCAUAUAUAUUUUGAGAAGUUUGAAACUACUUUAAGCACGUGCAUUGCAUCUUUUUGCCAACCUAUCAUGUCUUUAUUCUCAAAUCCCUUUUCCAACAAGAAGACACUUUCCUUCCAACGAUAAUUCUGCAGGGGGCUUUUCCCUGCUGGCUGUGUUAGAGUGCGACACGGAAGACUUUCUGGAGGCAGUGGCUUUAUUCAACACUCCACGGGUGAGCGGCACCAGCCAGGUGAAGAGAACAGGGAAAGUAGUACCAGCAGAGGGAACAGCAUGCGCCAUGCAUCUGUCUCUCCUGGCUCAGCCUCUUCUUCCAGGCUACAGGCUCCACUCGCCUCUUGCUACAGACUUCCUGAGCUGUUGCAAACAUUGAGUUAUCUGAGAGACAGUUACACAUACAGAGAGAGGGAGAGGGAGGGAGAGGGAGGGAGAUCCUCCCACCUGCUGCUUCACUCCCUGUGUGUCCUGGAAGUCAGGAGAUCUAUCCAGGAACCCAGCGGCUUGAGCCGUAACUGCUGCCUCCCAGGGUCUGCAGCCAGGACUAGAUGCUGGACACUUGGGUAUGGCCCUCGGGGGUUCUAACCUGCAUCUUGACCACCAGGCCAAAUGCACACCCCUCCCAGCGGGCUUGCUCCUGGCCCAUUCUGGCCUGCACUGUGCCCUUCAGCAGGAGUUUGGGGUAGCAAUCUCCAAUACAAUGGGUUGAGUGAUGUGUACAGUUCAGUGUGCACUUACCUCCUCAGUCUCUCUGUCAACAAAGGGCUUGGACAGACACACUGACCUGUAUGGAAGUCACCUUCGGCAAAAAAUGAUGCUAAAAGGGGCCAGUGCUGUGGUGUAGGGGAUAAAGCCACUGCCUGCCAUGCCGGCAUCCCAUAUGGGCGCUGGUUUGAGUCCUGGCUGCUGCACUUCUGAUCCUGCUCUCUGCUGUGGCCUGGGAAAGCAGUAGAAGAUGGCCCAAGUGCUUGGGCCCUGCACUGCAUGGAAGACCCGGAA